rnacentral:rRNA from 1 species
CGACACUAACAAUCCUUCGGGUGCGUUAAUGGGCGUCGAGCGGCGGACGGGUGAGUAAUGCCUAGGAAAUUGCCUUGAUGUGGGGGAUAACCAUUGGAAACGAUGGCUAAUACCGCAUAAUGCCUACGGGCCAAAGAGGGGGACCUUCGGGCCUCUCGCGUCAAGAUAUGCCUAGGUGGGAUUAGCUAGUUGGUGAGGUAAUGGCUCACCAAGGCGACGAUCCCUAGCUGGUCUGAGAGGAUGAUCAGCCACACUGGAACUGAGACACGGUCCAGACUCCUACGGGAGGCAGCAGUGGGGAAUAUUGCACAAUGGGCGAAAGCCUGAUGCAGCCAUGCCGCGUGUAUGAAGAAGGCCUUCGGGUUGUAAAGUACUUUCAGUUGUGAGGAAGGGGGUAGCGUUAAUAGCRMYAUCUCUUGACGUUAGCAACAGAAGAAGCACCGGCUAACUCCGUGCCAGCAGCCGCGGUAAUACGGAGGGUGCGAGCGUUAAUCGGAAUUACUGGGCGUAAAGCGCAUGCAGGUGGUUCAUUAAGUCAGAUGUGAAAGCCCGGGGCUCAACCUCGGAACUGCAUUUGAAACUGGUGAACUAGAGUACUGUAGAGGGGGGUAGAAUUUCAGGUGUAGCGGUGAAAUGCGUAGAGAUCUGAAGGAAUAC